rnacentral:rRNA from 1 species
UACGUAGGGUGCGAGCGUUAAUCGGAAUUACUGGGCGUAAAGCGUGCGCAGGCGGUUUUGUAAGCCAGAUGUGAAAGCCCCGGGCUCAACCUGGGAAUGGCAUUUGGGACUGCAAGGCUUGAGUGCGGCAGAGGAGACUGGAAUUCCUGGUGUAGCAGUGAAAUGCGUAGAUAUCAGGAGGAAUACCGAUGGCGAAGGCAGGUCUCUGGGCUGACACUGACGCUCAUGCACGAAAGCGUGGG